rnacentral:tRNA from 2 species
GCGCCUGUAGCUCAACUGGAUAGAGCGCUUGCCUUCGGAGCAAGAUGUUGCAGGUUCAACUCCUGCCAGGCGCA